rnacentral:piRNA from 1 species
UAGGUCUUCCUUUCUUGUGACCAAGUCCUC